rnacentral:rRNA from 1 species
AGUCUGCAACUCGACUGCACGAAGCUGGAAUCGCUAGUAAUCGCGAAUCAGAAUGUCGCGGUGAAUACGUUCCCGGGUCUUGUACACACCGCCCGUCACACCAUGGGAGUUGACAACGCCCGAAGUCAGUGACCCAACCGUAAGGAGGGAGCUGCCGAAGGCGGGGUUGAUAACUGGGGUGAAGUCGUAACAAGGUAAC